GCCGAAGACCUGAUUCUUGACAGCCAUGAUCGUUUCGAACUGGUUCUCGGGGUCGGUAUGGAACG
rnacentral:sRNA from 1 species